AUAAUUACCAGAAGUUUUUUUGGUGAAGUCUUUCAGGUUUUCUACAUAUAGUGCCAUGUCAUUGGCAAAUAGUGACAGUUGUACUUCCUACCAAUUUAGAAGCCUUUUAUUUCUUUUACUCAUCUGAUUAUUAUGGCUAGGACUUUC